GAUGAACGCUAGCGGCAGGCUUAAUACAUGCAAGUCGUACGGGAUCCGAGGUAGCAAUACUUUGGUGAGAGUGGCGCACGGGUGCGUAACACGUAUGCAACCUACCUAUAACCGGGACACAACCUCGAGAAAUUGAGGCUAAUAUCCCAUAACACUGCGAGAUGGCAUCAUUUUGCAGUUAAAACUCCGGUGGUUAUAGAUGGGCAUGCGCGACAUUAGCUAGUUGGUGAGGUAACGGCCCACCAAGGCUACGAUGUCUAGGGGUUCUGAGAGGAUUAAUCCCCCACACUGGACUGAGACACGGACCAGACUCCUACGGAGGCAGCAGUAAGGA
rnacentral:rRNA from 1 species